GAUAAGAGCGAAGUUCGCAUUCGGGAAAUUUUUUUGUAUCCAGGAUACACACAACUCGAAAGAAGGUGUUUGCUUGAGAACAAAAACUGAGUAAAAAGUUGGUUGAAAUAAAAAAAAAUUCUCUUCUUUAGCUUUUAUUCUCCUCGAAAAUUCGGUUAAGCGCGAUAUGGAUUCAAAUAACUCCUGUAUACCCUUUCCCAUUUCUGUACAAUAACUGCUACUCCAGCUACUACCAGCUACUGUGAUUGUACUGUUAACAACGGACAACGGUGGUGCUCGGUUACCUACUGUUGGAAGAAGAACAGAAACGCUCUUCUAGGAUGACAACGCGGCACUCCAAAUCUGCUCCACUCUACAACUAUUACGUUUAUCUCUGUGAGUUGUUGCUGUGUUAUAUUUUUUUUUUUGUGUGUCCUUUUUUGUUGCUGCUCCUGCUGCUGCUUCUGCUUACUCUCGUGUAUAUGUGUGUGAGUGCGUAUGUGUUCUGGUUUCCUUUUUUUUCCGAUCCGAAUUGGGGGGCUAAAACAGCGCAAAAUUUCAGGGCGUUUAGUCCCAGACCGACUUUUCAUUGAAACGGAUUUUUCGGUGAAAUAUUCUCGUGAACUAAAAAUAGUCCAGUAGUGUCGCACCAGACUGACUGGCUGGCUGGUUGGUUGGCUUGGCUUGGUUGGCUUGGUUGCUUUGGUCCUUAGCACUUUGCUCUCGAAAAAAGUAUUAGUGCUCCACUUUAUACAUCACGGGACUAUUCUAUACACGAUGAUGACGACAAUCGCCCGCCGACAAAGCAGCAGCGGGCCAAGGGGAGCCAAGCGCAGGGUUGCCCAUAUCCUCUCGACUCGAACUCAACAACACACUGCUUCCAGCUAUACUCGACAAAGCUACACCUCGGAAAAGGCACUGACUUUGAUUUUAGUCGAUAACGAGUCCGGUUAGUAGUCUAACGGUGGUGGUGGUGGUAGUAGGUUCGAGCGUUACAAUUUUUCAGACAAAAAAAAAAGUGUGUUUUUUUUUUGGUUUUUUUGCGGGUGUGUAGUAAAACGGUUGUUUGUUGUUGUAAAAAUCUUUUUUUUUGUUUGUUUGUUCCUGAUCCUACUGCCUUGUAUUUUACUGAGUUGGCCAUUGAAUGUCCUUGUUUCCUAUUUUAAUAAUUUUGUUUCUGUUAACUGAAGUUUUUGAAACUUUUUUUUUUUUUGUUCAAAAGUGAAAAGUGGUUUUUUUUUUGAAAAUCGGAUCAAGUGUUAACAAUAAAUUGAAGAUUAUUUACAAAACUUGAGAAAUUUUAAUAAUUAGGUUAAACUUUGUAUUAAUUUCAGAAGUGAUAUGAUGAAAAACCCAUUUUAUUAAAUUAAUUUAACUGUGUGUGAUUUCAAAAAAAUUGACUUUUUUUUCAAAAACUCCGUUUCUGACCUACAUAUUCGAGUGCUAAACAAUUAUCAAAUUGGCGGUUAACUACUGAUAGCCUGGUGGUGAAAAACUAAGAAGACUUAAUUUAAUAUUCAUAAUAAUGGCUCUACACAAAAUGCUGAUACAAAAAUGUUUUUCCUCGAGAACAAAUUGAAACGAUUUUGACUGAGGCAACAAGUUUAUUAAAAGAUAUGUAAUUCAACAAAAUCUUGGCAAUUCUACUCCUAUGAUUGUCUUCAAAAUAAGUCAAAAUUAAACUUAAAUUGUCUUUAAGGUGACAAAAACACAAUAAACCCAUUGACUGAAAGUGUAUGCUUUCCCAAGGAUACAAAAGCACUGGAAUUGAAGAUGCUAAUACUGAUAUCACCACCAGAAGCGUCCGCCAGAGACAACAGCUGAAUUCUUGGUAUAAUAUAUGUAGCACCCAGGAUAUAAGUUAAGCACAACAUAUGCUAAUGGCGGAAAAAGGAUACGUGUUCAUUGAUUGAAAAAUAUAAAAAAAAAAAUAUACAAGAAAAAACAGAAGAAAAAAAAUGUAAUACGAAGGAUGAAACUAAUGGAAACCUUCAGAAUGAACAUUGGGGUUAGAAUAUAUAUUGUCGAGGACCAGCAACCAGCAGCAGCAUCACAAUGCUAUAAGGAUAUAUUGGAAUGUGAUUCAAUUUUAUGACCCUCAGUGAGGAUUUAAACAGAGGUCAAUUUUUCUAUCAGAUAUAAAAACCUAAUGAACAAGGUACGUUAAACCUGUUUCCGAACAUUUCAAAAAAAUAAUACUCUUUUUAGAGGAACUUUAACAACGGUGAAUAAUUUAUUAUUCUUGUUUCCUGAAUUUGAAUACUUACCUACUGUGCGAGGGUUUUCAUUUUAUAAACUUCAAGUUUGCAUGUUCAACAAAUGAACAAAACGAACCAAAAGAAAUAAAAUAAAGAGAAACUAAAGGUAUUACGUUUCAGAUUAAAAUCUCUUAAGAACCGCACCGGAAAGUAAAGUCAGAAACGAAAAAUCAAUGCCUUCUUACCCAUUUAAUUAAGGAGUUAGUAGAAGACGGAGCGUGUUCUUGUUAGGUUUGAUUUAAAAGCCUUUUUAUUUUUUGGUUUUCCUUUUACUUCCGAAUUCAUUUUGUAUCUGUAGGUAAAACGAAAUGAAAAAUUCAAACACAAUGGUUUUCAAAGGAAGAAGGGAUUAAUUA